ACUUAGUGGCAGACGGGUGAGUACAUGUAGGUAUCUGCCCUUUGGCCUGGACCUUUCAAUGAAACUUGUGCUAAUACCGGAUAAGUCUUUACGGAGAAAGCUUUAUGCACCAUUGGAUGAGCCUGCACUUGAUUAGUUUGUUGGUGGGGUAAUGGCCUACCAAGACUGUGAUCAAUAGCUGAUUUGAGAGGAUGAUCAGCCACAUUGGGACUGAGACACGGCCCAAACUCCUACGGGAGGCAGCAGUGGGGAAUCUUGCACAAUGGAGGAAACUCUGAUGCAGCGAUGCCGCGUGAGUGAAGAAGGCCUUUGGGUUGUAAAGCUCUUUCGUCGGGGAAGAAAAUGACUGUACCCGAAUAAGAAGGUCCGGCUAACUUCGUGCCAGCAGCCGCGGUAAUACGAAGGGACCUAGCGUAGUUCGGAAUUACUGGGCUUAAAGAGUUCGUAGGUGGUUGAAAAAGUUAGUGGUGAAAUCCCAGAGCUUAACUCUGGAACUGCCAUUAAAACUUUUCAGCUAGAGUAUGAUAGAGGAAAGCAGAAUUUCUAGUGUAGAGGUGAAAUUCGUAGAUAUUAGAAAGAAUACCAAUUGCGAAGGCAGCUUUCUGGAUCAUUACUGACACUGAGGAACGAGAGCAUGGGUAGCGAAGAGGAUUAGAUACCCUCGUAGUCCAUGCCGUAAACGAUGCGUGUUAGACGUUGGAAAUUUAUUUUCAGUGUCGCAGCGAAAGCGAUAAACACACCGC
rnacentral:rRNA from 1 species